rnacentral:rRNA from 1 species
AAAGGGUGCUUAGACGGAAUAAUAAGUCAGUGGUGAAAUCUUGCGGCUCAACCGUAAAAUUGCCAUUGAUACGGUUAUUCUUGAGUAUGNUUGAGGUAGGCGGAAUGAGUAAUGUACCGGUGAAAUGCUUAGAUAUUACUCAGAACACCCGAUUGCGUAGGCAGCUUACCAAGCCAUCACUGACGCUGAGGCACGAAAGCGUGGGUAGCANACAGGAUUAGAUACCCUGGUAGUCCACGCCGUAAACGUUGAUUACUCGUUGUUGGCAAUACACCGUCAGCGACUGAGCAAAAGCAUUAAGUAAUCCACCUGGGGAGUACGUCAGCAAUGAUGAAACUCAAAGGAAUUGACGGGGGCCCGCACAAGCGGAGGAACAUGUGGUUUAAUUCGAUGAUACGCGAGGAACCUUACCUGGGCUUAAAUGUUUAGUGAUCGACCGGGAGACCGGUUUUUCCUUCGGGACACUUUACAAGGUGCUGCAUGGUUGUCGUCAGCUCGUGCCGUGAGGUGUCGGGUUAAGUCCCAUAACGAGCGCAACCCCUAUCGCCAGUUGCCAGCACAUAAUGGUGGGAACUCUGGUGAAACUGCCGGUGCAAACCGUGAGGAAGGUGGGGAUGACGUCGAAUCAGCACGGCCCUUAUGUCCAGGGCUACACACGUGUUAUAAUGGUCGGUACAACAGGAUGCCAAUCCGCAAGGAUGAGCUAAUCCCAAAAGCCGAUCUUAGUUCGGAUCGGAGUCUGCAAUUCGACUCCGUGAAGUUGGAUUCGCUAGUAAUCGCAGAUCAGCCAUGCUGCGGUGAUACGUUCCCGGGCAUUGUACACACCGCCCGUCAAGCCAUGGAAGCCGGGGGUGCCUGAAGUCCGUAACCGUAAGGAGCGGCCCUAGGGUAAAACCUGGUAACNUGGGGCUAACGUCGUCANCAAGGUAACNCAAGGG